GGAAGAAGAUGAUUUUUCACCUAGUGGAGUCAUUGAACAGUGGUCUUCGAAUUGGGAUUAUUUCCAAGAAUAGCUGAAUGCAGUAAAUGAACAUCUGUGAAUGAAGUUGAGAGGGUAUAUGUGGGCAGACUAGAAUUGCAGUGCACAGAUACAAGAAUGUUGUCUGCUUUGGAGCCAAGACUGCUUUCCGGAUAAAGGGCCCACAGAGAGUUGAGAGCUGUGUAAUACCUCAGAGACUGAAGAAAAGGGUUAGACAGCCAUCUUUCCUUAGAGGAUUUUGCUGCAGACAGCUUGAACUAUCAGAAGGUUAUAUACUGACUAUGGGUAGAGUAAGGAAGAAAUACAUCCUUCAGAAAGGAUAAUGAAGAUCUUUACAGCAGGG
rnacentral:lncRNA from 1 species